GGUUCUGUGGUAUAGUGGCUAAUACGUCUGCCUCACACGCAGAAGGUCGCGGGUUCAAUCCCCGCUAGAACCU
rnacentral:tRNA from 1 species